GACCGCGUAGCUCAGUUGGCAGAGCAUUGGGCUAGUAUCCCAAGGUCGUACAGUAGGUUCGAAUCACACCGUGGCCA